AUACUCUAGUUUCUCUUCAGAUGUAUAAAUCUUUCGCCUUUUUACUAGAGGUUUCCGCGAAGAGGAACAUUUAGGAGUUUUGAUUAAUUUUUGGAGGCCUUGCUUCCGCAGGGCU